UAAUGUGGUAGUUUCUGUAUUUGGCAGAUCUGUAAUUGUAUCAGAGCAGCCUUAAACUACCACAGAGAUCAGAAAGGAGACGGCUGAGCUGAGAACUCUUUCAAGCUUAAUGGUUUUCAGCUUUUUGUUCAGCUCCUACAGAA
rnacentral:snoRNA from 1 species